ACAUUCGGUGGAGGAACCAGACUGGAUGUUGGAAGUGAUGCCCGUCCCACCCUGACGGUGCUGCCCCCCUCCAGUGAGCAGCUGCAGCAGGGGGAGGCCACGCUCAUGUGCCUGGCCAACAAGGGCUUCCCCUCAGACUGGAGUCUGUCCUGGAAGGUGGACGGCAGCAGCAGCAGCAGCAGCAGCAGCUGGGAGCAGAGCAGCAGCCCCGGGGUGCUGGAGAAGGACGGCCACUACAGCUGGAGCAGCACCCUGAGGCUCUCUGCAGACCAGUGGAGGAAGGUGCGCUCUGUGACCUGUGAGGCCACCCAGGGCUCCCAGACUCCGCUCUCAGAGACUCUGAGGAGAGACCAGUGUCCCCAGUCCUGA